rnacentral:tRNA from 2 species
GCGCCCUUAGCUCAAUUGGAUAGAGCGUCUGACUACGGAUCAGAAGGUUAGGGGUUCGACUCCCUUAGGGCGUGCCA